AUGUGGAUGGCUUGCUCAGGCUGUAUGACCUUGUCCGGUCCAGGAGACCUACAGGUAAUAGGGAUUGUAUCACUGUGGUACACUUUUGGUAGCGGCACCAGACUAGAUGUUGGAAGUAACAGUGUCCCCACCCUCACCGUCCUGCCCCCCUCUAGUGAAGAGCUGUCCAGUACAACAACAGCCACACUGACGUGUCUGGCCAACAAGGGCUUCCCCUCAGACUGGACCAUGAGCUGGAAAGUGGACGGGACCAGCAAGAAGCAGGAGGCCAGUCCCAGGGUCCAGGAGAAGGAUGGCCUGUAUAGCUGGAGCAGCACCCUGACUCUCACUGCCCAGGAGUGGACCAAUGCAGGAGAGGUGACCUGUGAAGCGCAGCAGAAAUCCCAGACUCCAGUCACCAAGACCCUGAGGAGGGCUGACUGUUCUGGGUAGGACCCCUCAGUCACACACCCCUGUGGAGAGAGGAUGCUGGUUCCUCUUCUUUGACUUGCUUUGUUCUAAAAUCAGUCAUUCUUCAAUCUAGUGAUCACUCUGGUGUAGACUAAC